GGUGACCAGCGGAGGGAUCAUUACCGAGUUUACAACUCCCAAACCCCUGUGAACAUACCUUAAUGUUGCCUCGGCGGAUCAGCCCGCGCCCCGUAAAACGGGACGGCCCGCCAGAGGACCCAAACUCUAAUGUUUCUUAUUGUAACUUCUGAGUAAAACAAACAAAUAAAUCAAAACUUUCAACAACGGAUCUCUUGGUUCUGGCAUCGAUGAAGAACGCAGCAAAAUGCGAUAAGUAAUGUGAAUUGCAGAAUUCAGUGAAUCAUCGAAUCUUUGAACGCACAUUGCGCCCGCUGGUAUUCCGGCGGGCAUGCCUGUUCGAGCGUCAUUUCAACCCUCAAGCCCCCGGGUUUGGUGUUGGGGAUCGGCUCUGCCCUUCUGGGCGGUGCCGCCCCCGAAAUACAUUGGCGGUCUCGCUGCAGCCUCCAUUGCGUAGUAGCUAACACCUCGCAACUGGAACGCGGCGCGGCCAUGCCGUAAAACCCCAACUUCUGAAUGUUGACCUCGGAUCAGGUAGGAAUACCCGCUGAACUUAAGCAUAUC
rnacentral:rRNA from 1 species